rnacentral:sRNA from 12 species
UUUAGUAGUCUAAACACGAAACUGACCUGAUGAAUCGCGAACCCCUGAAGCUUAAGCCUUAGGUCGUGACUUAAACGUGUAUAAAUAAGAGUUGAAACCUAGUUC